AUGAAAACAGCAUUUGAACUUUCAUCUUUAAAGACGUAACCUGCUGUACGGUGGACAGUAUUCAAAUGCAGUCGUCAGUGAGGAUGUCAGUCAUUCUCUGCAGCGGGACUUCAUGCACCUCGCUAAAGGGAAAACUAGCAGGUAUU